rnacentral:sRNA from 1 species
GUAUCUGAAGCCUGACGAGGAUGAGAACCUCCGGGGGCAAGAGGUUCGACCCGAGCGAAGCGAGAGAGCGUUGCGCCAGCAACGGCCCGCAGUGGCAAGUCAUCCUCUGUCACCGGCAG